rnacentral:misc_RNA from 1 species
GAAAUGCGAUAAGUAAUGUGAAUUGCAGAAUUCAGUGAAUCAUCGAAUCUUUGAACGCACCUUGCGCUCCUUGGUAUUCCUUGGAGCAUGCCUGUUUGAGUAUCAUGAAGUCUUCAAAGUAAAUCUUUUGUUAACUCAAUUGGUUUCUACUUUGGUAUUGGAGGUCUUUGCAGCUUCACACCUGCUCCUCUUUGUUCAUUAGCUGGAUCUCAGUGUUAUGCUUGGUUCCACUCGGCGUGAUAAGUUAUCUAUCGCUGAGGACACUGUAAAAGGUGGCCAAGGUAAAUGCAGAUGAACCGCUUCUAAUAGUCCAUUGACUUGGACAAUACUUUUAUGAUCUGAUCUCAAAUCAGGUAGGACUACCCGCUGAACUUAAGC